GGCCUCGUAGCUCAGCUAGUAGAGCGCGCGCUUACAAAGCGUAGGCAGCGUCCACUCGUGGGUUUGAAUCCCACUGAGGCUA
rnacentral:tRNA from 1 species